UCUCCGUUGGUGAACCAGCGGAGGGAUCAUUACAAAGUUUUCACAACUCCCAACCCUUGCGAACCGUACCCAUUCUGUUCUCGUUGCUUCCGGCGGGUUGGACGGGGGGGGCCGAAACGGCCUCCCCGCCCCGCCUGCCGGGGGCGGCGGCCCCUCCGAACCAUUCUAUAUCAACCACCAACAACCGCCUGCGAAAAAAAAAAAAAAAAUUCAAACAUUCAAAAACGGAUCUCUUAGAUCUCGCAUCGAUCAAUAACGCAGCAGAUCGGAACACCACAA
rnacentral:misc_RNA from 1 species